rnacentral:rRNA from 1 species
CCUACGGGAGGCAGCAGUGAGGAAUAUUGGUCAAUGGACGAGAGUCUGAACCAGCCAAGUAGCGUGAAGGAUGACUGCCCUAUGGGUUGUAAACUUCUUUUAUAAAGGAAUAAAACGAGGCACGUGUGCCUUUUUGCAUGUACUUUAUGAAUAAGGAUCGGCUAACUCCGUGCCAGCAGCCGCGGUAAUACGGAGGAUCCGAGCGUUAUCCGGAUUUCUUGGGUUUAAAGGGAGCGUAGAUGGGUUGUUAAGUCAGUUGUGAAAGUUUGCGGCUCAACCGUAAAAUUGCAAUUGAUACUGGCAGUCUUGAGUACAGUUGAGGUAGGCGGAAUGCGUGGUGUAGCGGUGAAAUGCUUAGAUAUCACGAAGAACCCCGAUUGCGAAGGCAGCUUACUAAACUGUGACUGACAUUGAUGCACGAAAGUGUGGGUAUCAAACAGGAUUAGAUACCCCUGUAGUC